rnacentral:misc_RNA from 1 species
AAGUCGUAACAAGGUUUCCGUAGGUGAACCUGCGGAAGGAUCAUUAACACGUAUCCAAACGUUAAAACCCCCCCCGUGAACUUUCAUUUUUGGGGUUGGGUGACGUUCUCACAGGCUCAAAUCGUCGAUUGCCGAAACCACCUGCUGGGACGAUUGGCGUCCACAGUAGCCAAGGAGCUGUUGAAAGGCCAAAAAAUUGUACCCUUUUUUUUUGUUCGGUCUGGUGACGUGUGCUUCACGAUUCCUGUAACCGUACACUCGGGCAGGAGCUAUGUCAAAGGGUCCCCAUGCCCCCUUAUAAUCCCACAGUUUAAUGUAAAGCUCAAUGUAAUACAUUGGGUAAAAAAACCGUAAUGGGUAAAAACUGUUAACAAUGGAUAUCUUGGUUCUC